GACGAACCGAGCGAACGUUGUUCGGAAUCACUGGGCUUAAAGGGCGCGUAGGCGGGCUGCCAAGUCCGUGGUGAAAUCCCCCGGCUCAACCGGGGAAUGGCCUCGGAUACUGGCGGCCUCGAGGGGGGUAGGGGCGUGCGGAACUGUGGGUGGAGCGGUGAAAUGCGUUGAUAUCCACAGGAACUCCGGUGGCGAAGGCGGCACGCUGGGCCCCAUCUGACGCUGAGGCGCGAAAGCCAGGGGAGCGAACGGG
rnacentral:rRNA from 1 species